UACGUAGGGUGCAAGCGUUAAUCGGAAUUACUGGGCGUAAAGCGUGCGCAGGCGGUUUUGUAAGUCUGACGUGAAAGCCCCGGGCUCAACCUGGGAAUGGCAAUGGAUACUGGCAGGCUAGAGUGCGGUAGAGGGUAGUGGAAUUCCCGGUGUAGCGGUGAAAUGCGUAGAGAUCGGGAGGAACACCAGUGGCGAAGGCGGCUACCUGGACCAGCACUGACACUGAGGCACGAAAGCGUGGGGAGCAAACAGG
rnacentral:rRNA from 1 species